rnacentral:rRNA from 1 species
GGGUUGUGAGGUUAAGCGACUAAGCGUACACGGUGGAUGCCCUGGCAGUCAGAGGCGAUGAAGGGCGUACUAAUCUGCGAUAAGCGCCGGUAAGGUGAUAUGAACCGUUAUAACCGGCGAUACCCGAAUGGGGAAACCCAGUGUGAUUCGUCACACUAUCAUUAACUGAAUCCAUAGGUUAAUGAGGCGAACCGGGGGAACUGAAACAUCUAAGUACCCCGAGGAAAAGAAAUCAACCGAGAUUCCCCCAGUAGCGGCGAGCGAACGGGGAGGAGCCCAGAGCCUGAAUCAGCAUGUGUGUUAGUGGAAGCGUCUGGAAAGGCGCGCGAUACAGGGUGACAGCCCCGUACACAAAAGCGCAUGUGCUGUGAGCUCGAUGAGUAGGGCGGGACACGUGGUAUCCUGUCUGAAUAUGGGGGGACCAUCCUCCAAGGCUAAAUACUCCUGACUGACCGAUAGUGAACCAGUACCGUGAGGGAAAGGCGAAAAGAACCCCGGCGAGGGGAGUGAAAAAGAACCUGAAACCGUGUACGUACAAGCAGUGGGAGCACCCUUUGGGUGUGACUGCGUACCUUUUGUAUAAUGGGUCAGCGACUUAUAUUCUGUAGCAAGGUUAACCGAAUAGGGGAGCCGGAGGGAAACCGAGUCUUAAUUGGGCGUUAAGUUGCAGGGUAUAGACCCGAAACCCGGUGAUCUAGCCAUGGGCAGGUUGAAGGUUGGGUAACACUAACUGGAGGACCGAACCGACUAAUGUUGAAAAAUUAGCGGAUGACCUGUGGCUGGGGGUGAAAGGCCAAUCAAACCGGGAGAUAGCUGGUUCUCCCCGAAAGCUAUUUAGGUAGCGCCUCGUGAAUUCAUCUCCGGGGGUAGAGCACUGUUUCGGCUAGGGGGCCAUCCCGGCUUACCAACCCGAUGCAAACUGCGAAUACCGGAGAAUGUUAUCACGGGAGACACACGGCGGGUGCUAACGUCCGUCGUGAAGAGGGAAACAACCCAGACCGCCAGCUAAGGUCCCAAAGUCAUGGUUAAGUGGGAAACGAUGUGGGAAGGCCCAGACAGCCAGGAUGUUGGCUUAGAAGCAGCCAUCAUUUAAAGAAAGCGUAAUAGCUCACUGGUCGAGUCGGCCUGCGCGGAAGAUGUAACGGGGCUAAACCAUGCACCGAAGCUGCGGCAGCGACACUGUGUGUUGUUGGGUAGGGGAGCGUUCUGUAAGCCUGCGAAGGUGGCCUGUGAGGGUUGCUGGAGGUAUCAGAAGUGCGAAUGCUGACAUAAGUAACGAUAAAGCGGGUGAAAAGCCCGCUCGCCGGAAGACCAAGGGUUCCUGUCCAACGUUAAUCGGGGCAGGGUGAGUCGACCCCUAAGGCGAGGCCGAAAGGCGUAGUCGAUGGGAAACGGGUUAAUAUUCCCGUACUUGGUGUUACUGCGAAGGGGGGACGGAGAAGGCUAUGUUGGCCGGGCGACGGUUGUCCCGGUUUAAGCGUGUAGGUGUGUGUUCCAGGUAAAUCCGGUUCACUUUAACACUGAGGCGUGACGACGAGGCACUACGGUGCUGAAGCAACAAAUGCCCUGCUUCCAGGAAAAGCCUCUAAGCAUCAGGUAACAUCAAAUCGUACCCCAAACCGACACAGGUGGUCAGGUAGAGAAUACCAAGGCGCUUGAGAGAACUCGGGUGAAGGAACUAGGCAAAAUGGUGCCGUAACUUCGGGAGAAGGCACGCUGACACGUAGGUGAAGUGAUUUACUCAUGGAGCUGAAGUCAGUCGAAGAUACCAGCUGGCUGCAACUGUUUAUUAAAAACACAGCACUGUGCAAACACGAAAGUGGACGUAUACGGUGUGACGCCUGCCCGGUGCCGGAAGGUUAAUUGAUGGGGUCAGCGCAAGCGAAGCUCCUGAUCGAAGCCCCGGUAAACGGCGGCCGUAACUAUAACGGUCCUAAGGUAGCGAAAUUCCUUGUCGGGUAAGUUCCGACCUGCACGAAUGGCGUAAUGAUGGCCAGGCUGUCUCCACCCGAGACUCAGUGAAAUUGAACUCGCUGUGAAGAUGCAGUGUACCCGCGGCAAGACGGAAAGACCCCGUGAACCUUUACUAUAGCUUGACACUGAACAUUGAGCCUUGAUGUGUAGGAUAGGUGGGAGGCUUUGAAGUGUGGACGCCAGUCUGCAUGGAGCCGACCUUGAAAUACCACCCUUUAAUGUUUGAUGUUCUAACGUGGACCCGUUACCCGGGUUGCGGACAGUGUCUGGUGGGUAGUUUGACUGGGGCGGUCUCCUCCUAAAGAGUAACGGAGGAGCACGAAGGUUGGCUAAUCCUGGUCGGACAUCAGGAGGUUAGUGCAAUGGCAUAAGCCAGCUUGACUGCGAGCGUGACGGCGCGAGCAGGUGCGAAAGCAGGUCAUAGUGAUCCGGUGGUUCUGAAUGGAAGGGCCAUCGCUCAACGGAUAAAAGGUACUCCGGGGAUAACAGGCUGAUACCGCCCAAGAGUUCAUAUCGACGGCGGUGUUUGGCACCUCGAUGUCGGCUCAUCACAUCCUGGGGCUGAAGUAGGUCCCAAGGGUAUGGCUGUUCGCCAUUUAAAGUGGUACGCGAGCUGGGUUUAGAACGUCGUGAGACAGUUCGGUCCCUAUCUGCCGUGGGCGCUGGAGAACUGAGGGGGGCUGCUCCUAGUACGAGAGGACCGGAGUGGACGCAUCACUGGUGUUCGGGUUGUCAUGCCAAUGGCACUGCCCGGUAGCUAAAUGCGGAAGAGAUAAGUGCUGAAAGCAUCUAAGCACGAAACUUGCCCCGAGAUGAGUUCUCCCUGAGACUUAAAGUCUCCUGAAGGAA